rnacentral:rRNA from 1 species
GGUGAGUAACACGUGGAUAACCUACCUAUAAGACUGGGAUAACUUCGGGAAACAGGAGCUAAUACCGGAUAAUAUAUUGAACCGCAUGGUUCAAUAGUGAAAGACGGUUUUGCUGUCACUUAUAGAUGGAUCCGCGCCGCAUUAGCUAGUUGGUAAGGUAACGGCUUACCAAGGCAACGAUGCGUAGCCGACCUGAGAGGGUGAUCGGCCACACUGGAACUGAGACACGGUCCAG